CUUUGGAAUAAGAAGGUCGCACGAAGUCAUUUAUCGUACCGGAGAGGGGCUAUGUUUUGUCAGGAAGGACUGAAUUUUACUUAUUAAUCAUUUUGAGCUCCUAAAACGACCCAGAAAUACCCCAAAAUGCAUAAGAAAAAGGUAGAAUUUUUGACAUUUCUCGAAUUCAUUUUUCAUUCAAAGGAAUAACACCGAAGGGAAGAAAUUUGAUCGUUUUCAAGAAAACUCGAGCACUAAGGGGAGCAUUUAUAUCAUUUCAAACAUGUAUUGAUUCAUUAAAAGUACAAACUGUCGUAAAAGUAUGAGAUGGUAUCGAGGCAUGUAUGGGCUUUUAGGGCGACCGUUGGAUUAAAGCAAAUAGAGCGUUCGUCCCUUUAAGAAAUGCCCUUUACGUAAUUGUAUAGAAGGCCAAGAUCGAAGGCCUGAAAGUCUCCCAAAAUAAUUUCUGAAAUACGUCGUUCUCGACGAAAGGUGCAAAACUCUUUGGAAUAAGAAGGUCGCACGAAGUCAUUUAUCGUACCGGAGACGGGCUAUGUUUUGUCAGGAAGGACUGAAUUUUACUUAUUAAUCAUUUUGAGCUGCUAAAAUGACCCAGAAAUACCAGAAAAAUGCAUAAGAGAAAGGUAGAAUUUUUGACAUUUCUCAAUUUUUUUUUUUUCAUUCGAAGGAACAACACAAAACGGAAGAAAUUUGAUCGUUUUCAAGGAAAGUCGAGCUUUUAGGGGAGGAUUCAAGUCCUUUCAAACAUCAAUUGUAUCAUUAGAAGGACAAGCCGUCGUAAAAAUAUGAGAUGGUAUCGUUGGAUGUGGUGGCUUCCAGAACACCCAGCAAACUCGGAAAAAGCAAAAGUUGAUACCUUUAAGAAAUUGCCCCAAAAUAUUUUCUGAUAAAGGUCGUUUUCGACGGAAGGUGCAAAACUCUUUGGAAUAGGAAGGUCGCACGAAGUCAUUUAUCGUACCGGAGACGGGCUAUGUUUUGUCAGAAAGGACUGAAUUUUACUUAUUAAUCAUUUUGAGCUCCCAAAACGACCCAGAAAUACCCGAAAAAUGCAUAAGAAAAAGGUUGAAUUUCGACAUUUCUCAAGUUCAUGUUGAGGUUAGUUUUUUGUGCUCAUUGUAGAGAAAGAAAUUAGUCGUUUUCCGUUGAAGGAAACUUAAUUGAAUCUUAUAAUGCAUGAAUCAAUGAUCAUUUUGCUUCAUUUUAACUGCAUACAAUAGAUUUUUAGCAAUUUUCAAGCAGUUGGGCAGUGUUCGGUGAUGAUUUAUUCCACUCAUUCGAAGUCAAAGGAAAAUAUGUUUUCGAUUCAUUUAUUCAAUGGAAAUGAUAAAAUGAUUAUUGGAAUACAUUAUCCGGGCUAGAUUUUUUUUUCAUCGUAGAGGAAGGUGCAAAACUCUUUGGAAUAAGAAGGUCGCACGAAGUCAUUUAUCGUACCGGAGAGGGGCUAUGUUUUGUCAGGAAGGACUGAAUUUUAUUUAUUAAUCAUUUUGAGCUCCUAAAACGACCCAGAAAUACCCCAAAAUGCAUAAGAAAAAGGUAGAAUUUUUGACAUUUCUCGAAUUCAUUUUUCAUUCAAAGGAAUAACACCGAAGGGAAGAAAUUUGAUCGUUUUCAAGAAAACUCGAGCACUAAGGGGAGCAUUUAUAUCAUUUCAAACAUGUAUUGAUUCAUUAAAAGUACAAACUGUCGUAAAAGUAUGAGAUGGUAUCGAGGCAUGUAUGGGCUUUUAGGGCGACCGUUGGAUUAAAGCAAAUAGAGCGUUCGUCCCUUUAAGAAAUGCCCUUUACGUUAUUGUAUAGAAGGCCAAGAUCGAAGGCCUGAAAGUCUCCCAAAAUAAUUUCUGAAAUACGUCGUUCUCGACGAAAGGUGCAAAACUCUUUGGAAUAAGAAAGUCGCACGAAGUCAUUUAUCGUACCGGAGACGGGCUAUGUUUUGUCAGGAAGGACUGAAUUUCACUUAUUAAUCAUUUUGAGCUGCUAAAAUGACCCAGAAAUACCAGAAAAAUGCAUAAGAGAAAGGUAGAAUUUUUGACAUUUCUCAAGUUCAUGUUGAGGUUAGUUUUUUGUGCUCAUUGUAGAGAAGGGAAUUUGUUGGUUUCUAUUAAAGGAAACUGAAUUGAAUAUUAUAAUGCAUGAAUAAAUAAUCAUUUUGCUCCAUCUCAACUGCAUACAAUAGAUUUUUAGCAAUUUUCAAGCAGUUGGGCAGUGUCCGGUGAUGUUUUCUUUUUACUCAUUUGAGGUCAAAGGAAAAAUGUGUUUUCGAUUAAUUUAUUCAAUAGAAAUGAUAUAAUGAUUAUUGGAAUACAUUAUCCGGGUAAUUUUUUGCAUUAAAAUUUUACAUUUAUAGACUUUUAGCAAGUUAUUCCAAUUUUAAGGCUAGAUUUUUUUUUUCAUCGUAGAGGAAGGAAUGUUGUGAGUUCCUUUUCAAAAUGAACUGAAUGAAAUCUUGAAAAGCAGGGAAUCCCUUUUAUAAUGUGUCUUCUCAACUGCAUAUAACUGAUUUUUGCUAAUAUCAUCAACUAUAUUUGGUUUUUUUGUUUCAUUCCUAAUUCCAGUAUGCAGUUCAUUCAUCAUUGAUGUAAAUUUCCUGAAAUUAUUCAUGGAUUAUACUGAGUGAAUCGGAAUUUAUGAUUCGAUUAUUAUUAUUUCGAAUAAAUCUCUACAUAAUUCUCUGUACUUCAAAUAUUCUUAUAGCCACAUCCCCAUAAGAAAAUACACCUCUUUGAAAUAAGGAAGUUGCAUGAAGUAAUUUAUUGGUUCAGAGACAGCCUAUGUUUUGUCAGGAAGGUCUGAAUUUUACUUAUUAAUCAUUUUGAGCUCCUAAAAUGACCCAGAAAUACCAGAAAAAUGCAUAAGAAAAAGGUAGAAUUUUUGACAUUUUUAAAUUCAUAUUGCGGUUAGAUUUUUUAUGCUCAUUGUAGAGAAAGGAAUUCUUCGGUUUCUAUUGAAGAAAACUGAAUUGAAUAUUAUAAUGCAUGAAUCAAUAAUCAUUUUGCUUCAUUCCAACUGCAUACAAUAGAUUUUUAGCAAUUUUCAAGCAGUUGGGCAGUGUCCGGUGAUGUUUUCUUUUUACUCAUUCGAGGUCCAAGGAAAAAUAUGUUUUCGAUUAAUUUAUUCAAUGGAAAUAAUAUAAUGAUUAUUGGAAUACAUUAUCCAGGUGAGUUUUUGCAUUAGAAUUCUUUAUUUAUAGACUUUUGGCAAGUUAUUCCCAUUUUUGUUUUCAUCGUAGAAAAGGAAGAAGUUUCUUUUCAAAAUAAAAUUAACUGAAUGAAAUCUUGAAAAGCAGCGAAUCUCUUUUAAAAUGCUUCCUUCUAACUGCAUAUAACUGAUUUUUGCUAAUAUCAUCAACUAUUUUGGGAUUUUUUGUUUCAUUCCCAAUUCCAGUAUGCAGUUUAUUCAUCAUCGAUAUAAUUUUCCUGAAACAAUUCAUGAAUUAUACUGGGUAAAUCAGAUAAUUAUUUGAUUAUUAUUAUAUAUUUCGAACAAAUCUUUACAUAAUUUCCCGUAUUUCAAGUAUUAUUCUUAUAGUCACAACCCCAAUAGAAAAUACACAUUUACUCAAGAUAACAAAAGUAAGAGUCGGAAAAUGUGAGAUUUCGAAGAUUAGGUGAAAGUAUCACAUUAGGAUUUUGUUUCAUUGAGAAACGGAAUAGCAUUUCUCAAUUUUCUCAUUCAUUUUCAUCAAUAUAACCUAUGAAGAUAACAACAUGAUAGGUUAGGUUGGAAAAUUUUGACCACAGAGCACUUUUAUAAGUUUUGAUUAUCUAUCAUAGAAAAACAAAAACAUAGAACAAUAUUUGGCCUCGCUAUUUUUGAAUUUAAUAUUUUUAUGAAAAUUUUUUAAGCGAAUCUGUUUAAAUAGGUGUAUCCUACCCAAGGGUUAUACUUUGGGCUUACUAGCCCAUAUCCCAUUUUCACAAAUCUUCGUUUUCGUAGAAGGAAAACCACAGAGACUUUACCACUGAGAGUUGUCAUGUAUAAUUCUAGCAAUUUUCAUUCAAAACCUUAGAGAAAUGAAUGAAAAGAGGUGAAAAUCCCUCGAAUCACGUAUUUAUAGCAUCAAAUAUGAUGAAUCGGUCUUUCAAGACAAUAAUUCCUAUCCAAAUAUGUAUGGAUAUAAAAAGGUCAAUUCUACCGUUUACAGAGAAAGAUGCAAGUGCUUACUUAUUCAAGGUGGAAAAAGAAAAGCUUGAUUCUAUUUGCUGUUCCUAAAUUAAAAUUUGUCAGCAAAUGUUAUCCUUUUUAUCAAGGUUAUAUUCUGCAGGAAGAACCAGGUAUCGUUGGAUGUGGUGGCUUCUAGAACUCCCAGCAAAUUCGUCAAGAUCGAAGCCCUGGAAGUGUCCCAAAAUAUUUUCUGAUAAAGGUCGUUUCCGACGAAAGAUGCAAAACUCUUUGGAAUAAGGAGGACGCACGAAAUCAUUUAUCGUACCGGAGACGAGCUAUGUUUUGUCAAGAAGGACUGAAUUUUACUUAUAUAUCAUUUUGAGCCCCCAAAACGACCCAAAAGUAUCCGAAAAAUACAUAAGAAAAAGGUAGAAUUUUGACAUUUCUCGAGUUCAUGUUGAGGUUAGUUUUUUAUGCUCAUUGUAGAGAAAGGAAUUUGUCGGUUUCUAUUGAAGGAAACUGAAUUGCAUCUUAUAAUGCAUGAAUCAAUAAUCAUUUUGCUUCAUUCCAACUGCAUACGAUAGAUUUUUAGCAAUUUUCAAGCAAUUGGGUAGUGUCUGGUGAUGUUUUCUUUUUACUCAUUCGAGGUCCAAGGAAAAAUAUGUUUUCGAUUAAUUUAUUCAAUGGAAAUAAUAUAAUGAUUAUUGGAAUACAUUAUCCGGGUGAGUUUUUGCAUUAGAAUUCUCUAUUUAUAGACUUUUGGCAAGUAAUUCUGAUUUUUGGUUUCAUCGUAGCAGAAGGAAUUUUGUGAGUUUCUUUUCAAAAUGAACUGAAUGAAAUCUUGAAAAGCAUGGAAUCUCUUUUGUAAGGUUUUUUCCAACUGCAUAUAACUGAUUUCUGCUGAUAUUCAAACUUUAUAUGAAGAUAAUUGUAUUGACAAUGUCUGUUGAAAUUGUUACACUGAAAUACGGAAUUCUUACUGCCUUUGAAAAUUCAUGGUUUGUUUUAAUUGAAGAAUUAUUCUUAUCCAUCCGUUGCAUUACUGUUAUAUUGAAAGUUGAAAUAUUCAAUAAAUAGAAUGAAACAAAUGAUAAUGA